AUGCANGUCGAACGGUAACAGGCCGCAAGGUGCUGACGAGUGGCGAACGGGUGAGUAAUGCAUCGGAACGUGCCCAGUCGUGGGGGAUAACGCAGCGAAAGCUGUGCUAAUACCGCAUACGAUCUAUGGAUGAAAGCGGGGGACCGUAAGGCCUCGCGCGAUUGGAGCGGCCGAUGUCAGAUUAGGUAGUUGGUGGGGUAAAGGCCCACCAAGCCAACGAUCUGUAGCUGGUCUGAGAGGACGACCAGCCACACUGGGACUGAGACACGGCCCAGACUCCUACGGGAGGCAGCAGUGGGGAAUUUUGGACAAUGGGCGCAAGCCUGAUCCAGCAAUGCCGCGUGCAGGAAGAAGGCCUUCGGGUUGUAAACUGCUUUUGUACGGAACGAAACGGUCUGGGUUAAUACCCUGGGCUAAUGACGGUACCGUAAGAAUAAGCACCGGCUAACUACGUGCCAGCAGCC
rnacentral:rRNA from 1 species